GCAGCAGUGAUGCUUUCAUGACAUCACGACCGGUCACGGCGGUUAUGUUGUCCGCCAAUAGCACUGAGUUUACCAUUCUGUUCUGUGAUUCCGACGCUCAUGGCGCUCAUGGCAUUCCUGCAGUCAGUCGAUUUCGGCCAUUUCAGCGGUGGGAGCUGAAGGAAUUCGGUCGAAGAUGUUAUUUUGUUGGGAGAGCGUGUAGAGCGCACAGCUUGUCAUUGAAUGGGCCGUUGUGGUGUGUCUGGCUCGUAAUGAAUUAGCAGUGCGCUGAAGAGAGGUACUGUGAAGGAAUUUGAUUAAAUACAAAAAAAUUCAACCAUAUAAUGAGCAGAAUGUCACAAAACGAGGAAAGUCGAGGGAGUGACUUAAUCCCGCCUGGAAGAGAAGACUCAAAACAAAUGUUGGUCGAAGAAUUUAUGAUGGUUACCGGAACAAUUAAGGCCAUUGCAGCUGCUCUGAAAACACGUAAGCUGAGGUGAGCUGCUUCUUUAUUUAUAGCUGUGUGGCUUAAAUGAGCUUUCAUUCAAAGCAAAUUAAAACCUUUUGUGUACUCACUCACCCUUGGAGAUGAGCUCUUCUUGAGAAGCCACAAAUUGUGC